rnacentral:rRNA from 1 species
UACGUAGGGUGCAGGCGUUACUCGGAAUUACUGGGCGUAAAGCGUGCGCAGGCGGCUCCUUAAGUCAGAUGUGAAAGCCCCGGGCUUAACCUGGGAACUGCGUUUGAAACUGGGGGGCUAGAGUGUGGAAGAGGGGGGUGGAAUUCCAGGUGUAGCAGUGAAAUGCGUAGAGAUCUGGAGGAACACCGAUGGCGAAGGCAGCCCCCUGGGCUAACACUGACGCUCAUGCACGAAAGCGUGGGGAGCAAACAGG